UUAUGCAGCUCAAUAAGGUGAUAGUAGAUCACGAGGUUGCAAUGCAGCUCGAUAAGGUGAUUGCAGAUCAUGAGGUUGCAAGGACAACUGCUCAAGAAGCAAUUCUUCAUCUUUGAGGACUUGAGGUCCUACUGGUUCUCACCGAGGCCACAUUCCGAAGCAUUGUCUUGUGCCCAGGUCCAUUUUAUUAUGCCCAUGGCCGUAUAUGCUCCAUCUCUGGGGUCAUUGGGUUAUUUUCCUUGGUCUGCUUCU